rfam:Cavia porcellus supercont2_80 genomic scaffold, whole genome shotgun sequence.
GCCGGGUGUGGUGGCGCGUGCCUGUAGUCCCAGCUACUCGAGAGGCUGAGGUGGGAGGAUCGCUUGAGUCCAGGAGUUCUGGGCUGCAGUGCGCUAUGCGGAUCGGGUUUCCGCACUAAGUUCGGCAUCAAUAUGGUGACCUCCCGGGAGCGGGGGACCACCAGGUUGCCUAAGGAGGGGUGAACCGGCCCAGGUCGAAAACGGAGCAGGUCAAAACUCCCGAUCGCGCCUGUGAAUAGCCACUGCACUCCAGCCUGGGCAAUAUAGUGAGACCCUGUCUCUU